UGCGCAGGCGCGCACGCCUCGCUGCUCGGCAACCGGGCCCCCGCCCUCGGGGAAAGGGCGGCAGUUCCCGCCUCGCUAGGCUGACGGUCCGGCGCUCAGUCGCGGCGAGAGCCGCAGCGGGAAAGGGAGGCCGGCGCAGAGGCGCAGAGAGCGGUCAGCGAGCAGGCGGGGAACCCGGCGCAGAGGGGCGGGCAGACGCGCGGCAGGCAGGGCGGGCGAGCAACCGGCUGACGGCUUGACUGAGAAAGAAAGGAGGCGUCAGGGACGCCACUAGGUUCCAAAGUCUCCCGCCUAGCCUUCCCCGGGGCGGCUGACCUGCCGGCGUUGCCAGCCACGUACGAUGCCCGGCCUGCGAGCCUGCCUGCCCGCGGGCGGGAUACGCGCUCGCCUCGCUUGCCGGUCAGAGCCGUCCCUGGGAAAGCAGCAGCCGCCUGCCUCGGCCUGGGCAGCGACGGCGGUCCGCCGGGCCCGGCGCCGGCAGC